UUGGAGGUCAUUUAUACCAUGAAAAAUGGAGGACGCUUUAUCGGAAUGGCGGCGGCAGUUAUUGAUGAUUGUUAUUAUAUGGCUUGCGAUAUUUCUCUCACUGGCUUCGAACAUUGUACUAGAGAAGCAAAUAAGGUGGCUCAUGAGCUUGCUAGGUUUGCUAGAUUUUCUUUGACUAAUGACUGGUUUGAGCCCCUCCUCAUAAAUGAUGUACUUGUUAUUACAAAUUUGUAA
rnacentral:rRNA from 1 species